GAGCAAGGGUCCUAGUUGUGACCCUGUGUAUGAGGACUGCCUAUUGUGCAGAGGGUGUUCAGCGGGGAUCUCAUAGACACUAACGAGCUUGAUCAGCAGAGGAUGCAAUGGAGCUAUGUACGUGAGAAGUUAUACCAUUCACGAAGCACACGUCAGACACUGAACGCCGUCUUAAGGAGACUAAUAAACCAAACGAAGGCCUGGAUAAGCAAUAAUGACCUGACUAUAACCAGAGACAAUAAGAGCAAAUGAAUGGUCCUACUUAAAAAGGCUAAUUAUGACACUUGUCUCCUAGAUUAUCUGCAAGAUACCUAACCCAAGCUCCUACAACAUGACCCCACUAACCAAGUGAAGACUAUCACCCAGAGAAUUAUGAAUGACCCCUCAUUCCUGGCAGUAUGGAGCCAUACGAAAGUCUGUGCUGCAACAUGCACUCGCCUCUUCGCAUAUGUGAAAACCCACAAACAGCCACCAAAAUUACAACCUAUUGUCAAAAAAAGAGGGGCCCCUACGUAUAAUCUAGAGAGGAAAAUAGCGAAGUGGUGUACAUCCAUACUCGGCAUGGACAACAACUCUGUCAUCGUACCAUCCGAAGCAUUGAACAGGCUUAAGCAAUAUAAUUAGCAAGGGCAGCACGUACUAGCUACAUUCAAUUUCGAUAACCUGUACCCUUCACUUCGACUGGAGCCCACCUGUUUGAAUUUCUAUAGAU
rnacentral:lncRNA from 1 species